rnacentral:rRNA from 1 species
UACAGAGGUCCCAAGCGUUGUUCGGAUUCACUGGGCGUAAAGGGUGCGUAGGCGGUCGGGUAAGUCUGAUGUGAAAUCUAUGGGCUCAACUCAUAGUCUGCAUCGGAAACUGCAGGGCUCGAGUGUGGGAGAGGUGAGUGGAAUUCCUGGUGUAGCGGUGAAAUGCGUAGAUAUCAGGAGGAACACCUGUGGCGAAAGCGGCUCACUGGACCACAACUGACGCUGAAGCACGAAAGCUAGGGGAGCAAACAGG